GACGAACGCUGGCGGCGUGCUUAACACAUGCAAGUCGAGCGGUAAGGCCCUUUCGGGGGUACACGAGCGGCGAACGGGUGAGUAACACGUGGGUGACCUGCCCUCAGCUCUGGGAUAAGCCUGGGAAACCGGGUCUAAUACCGGAUAUGACUCCAUGACGCCUGUUGUGGGGUGGAAAGCCUUGUGCGGCUGAGGAUGGGCCCGCGGCCUAUCAGCUUGUUGGUGGGGUGANGGCCUACCAAGGCGACGACGGGUAGCCGGCCUGAGAGGGCGACCGGCCACACUGGGACUGAGACACGGCCCAGACUCCUACGGGA
rnacentral:rRNA from 1 species